UUUAUCAUCACAAACGUCUAUGCUCCCGCAAGUCGCAACCUCAAACAAGCUUUUCUCGAUGAACUCAGAACGAUAAAACAAGAUGACCACACGCCCUGGUUAAUAGUAGGAGAUUUCAACCUUGUACGUUUUUCGCACGAAAAAAAUAACCACAACUUUCACCAACCAGAAGCAGAUGCUUUUAACAGCAUAAUCAAUGAGUUAGCCCUACUCGAACUCCCAGUGCUCCACCGACGCUUCACUUGGUCUUCAAACACUCUCUGCCAACCUUAG
rnacentral:rRNA from 1 species